UACGUAGGGGGCAAGCGUUGUCCGGAAUCAUUGGGCGUAAGGCGCGUGUAGGCGGCUUGAUAAGUCCGCUCUGAAAGCCCGGGGCUCAACCCCGGGAGGCGGGUGGAUACUGUCAAGCUCGAGUCCGGAAGAGGCGAGUGGAAUUCCUGGUGUAGCGGUGAAAUGCGCAGAUAUCAGGAGGAACACCAAUGGCGAAGGCAGCUCGCUGGGACGUGACUGACGCUGAGACGCGAAAGCGUGGGGAGCAAACAGG
rnacentral:rRNA from 1 species